rnacentral:rRNA from 1 species
GAUUAACGCUGGCGGCGUGCCUAAUGCAUGCAAGUCGAACGUGGUCCCUUCGGGGAUGAACGUGGCGGACGGGUGAGGAACACGUGGGGAACCUGCCCAUUGGUGGGGGUAGCCCGCGGAAACGCGGGGUAAGUUCCGCAUACGCUGGCCGGGGGAGUAGCCCGGGUCAGGAAAGGGCGCGUUCGCGCGCUCGCCGAUGGAGGGGCCUGCGCCCGAUUAGCUGGUUGGUGGGGUAACGGCCUACCAAGGCGGUGANCGGUAGCUGGUCUGAGAGGACGGCCAGCCACAGGGGACGUGAGACACGGCCCCCACUCCUACGGGAGGCAGCAGCAAGGAGUUUUCCGCAAUGGCGCAAGCCUGACGGAGCAACGCCGCGGUGGGGAUGACACCUUUCGGGCGUAAACCCUUUUCUUGGGACGAAGCAGUGACGGUACCUGAGGAAGAAGGCCCGGCUAACUACGUGCCAGCCGCCGCCGU